CAUUCUCUCACAAAGUUACCGAACGGCAGCAAGAGCGGACGUGUUUGGUACGUUUCUUUCGUCGUGUUGGGAUUUAUUUCUGAAGAUUCAUCAUCAGUUUGAAGAAAGGUUAGCAGCUGAAAAAAACGUGCGUAGGAAGUGUAAAACUUCCCCAAAAGGAAGUUUUAUACAUUUUUUAGAAGUGCACUGUGUUGCAUUUCGAGAAGAGCAAAAAUUUCAGUUCAAUUAGCUUUAAUACAGUAUCAUAAGUUGCGACGAAGUUAUCUGCAAAGACACCGCCAUCUUUGAUAGUGGGCAAGAAGUGCAUCAUCUUUAGCUUGAAUUUGAACAAAAGCCAGCAACAGGAAGCGCCAUGAAUACGGGCAGCAAAAUUGCCUUCAACAGUUCGACCGGUGUUUCGCUGAAUGACCGCUUCACCGUUAUGUCUAAGGUUACGCCGGCUGACAAAAACUACGCUACCUUCGGUAGACUGAAUAACGGUAUGUCAACGGGAAUCCUUCGCCGCAAGCGCUCCAACUCGGUGGAUUCACUCAACACUAAAGGCUCCCUAGCCAAUCGACAGCUACUGCGACAACUGGACCGGCUUCAUACGGGACAGAAUUCGGCGUUUCGUCACAAAAAUAGAAACAUUCGCUCCGGUCGGAAUCGUUUAAACCGCAGCAAUUUCGCUACGCGAGUUAAUUUGCGUCGUGCAGCCGGAAAUACACUUUCAUUGGUGGGAGGCUCACUGCACCUGCAGCGUUCCAACAGCCUCUCGGAUAUAGCCACAAUGAACGCCGACUACGUCGAACGUCAGGCCUUCUAUCGCACCGGCUCGCAGCAAAACAUCACAUCCCGUCUUGGUCACAAUCAUAGAAGACCCCGCAGUCGCUCCCGCGGUUCCCGCCACCAGUUGCAUCGUACAAAUUCUUCCGGUGGACGAUCCAGAUCCCGGGGAAACCGAGACCGUUCGAAUUCUCAGUCACGGUCGCGUCCCCAUGCGUCCCGUUCACGGUCACGCAUCACGGCUAAUCGUGACAGAUCACGCAGUGGCGGUGUGAAUGGUUUCAAUGGAAACGGUAACAUCGGAAAUCGGCUUGGAAGCGGCAGUGGUGGUGGUGGCGAUGGCGGUGGCGCCGGCUACGGUGGUGGGUACCCACGCGGACGCUCCAUGGUACGACGGGGCCGUGGAAAUGGGUACAUGUCGCGAACUAGUUCACGUUCAAAUCAACGCUACGGAAGCGUUAACGGUCGACUUGGCUCGAACCGUACCAACCGACCGGCCAUCAAUGGAUACCGCGGAAGUCGCGGUUGGUUCGGCAAACGAGGCCUUCGCCGUGGAGGAGGCGGCCCCCCUUAUCAGAAUGAUAGGAACGGAGGAAGACCCGGACGAAACCCGCAGAGGUAAUGAUCCGUUGGUUACAACGAGAAAACUUAAAACAAUUAGUUUCCUGGGAAACGGAUUGAUGUUGGACACAUCCCAAUAUCUGUUGAGCCUUGGGUUGGACGCUCCGUAAAAUGCCGUGCAGUGUGACGCGUAUAAACAAAGGCGUAUUUCUACUCACAUCUAAUUUCUUAUAAAAUCCCAUUCUUAGAGGAUAACAUGAAAAAAAAUGAAAGAGGGAGUUAAAGAAGGAGGAGUGUUGAAAGGAAAUCAAUCAGAAGCAGGAUCGAGCGUUCGGAUUAUUAGGUUCAUCUAGUACAGAUGCUGGUUGGUUAACCCGAAACACACAUUAUUUUCCAAAUGAAGCAUGCCAUAUGGAUGCUAAGGACUCGUAGAUCAAAAGUUGUUGGAUUGCUGUAGUGGAACUAUUUUUGAAACAUCAGUGAAAACAGUUGGGGAUUGAUGUGCUUAGUGAAAAUUGACUUUUAACGCUCUUACUCUUGGAAGCCUAUCAUUGACCGUCUGAUCUAAAUCGCUCUCCUGACCAAACUGUAUCUAAAAACAUCCUAGGUUACUGAACAUUCACAUCACGCACAAAACCGGUUGUACUCCUCCAAAAUUAACUGCACUUUGUUAGUGCUUCUCCCGAACAAAGUACGCUCGAUCAAGCCCUUUUCUUGUAGUUGUUGCAGUAGUAGCCCUUUGGUAAGACGCAAAACCAGAAGUCGGGCAAUUUCUUCAUGAACAGGAAAACCAUGAGCAGGAAAUUCUUUUUCUAUCAACUACCGCUCCGACAUCUGGUGGAUCAACAAUCGCUGCAGGCAGCUCAUGGAACGUCGUCAACCGUGGCUCUGGUCCAUCUGCCAGGAAGAGAACCUCAACCUGCGAUGACGGUCUGGCUUGUCUGGCUAGAGAUAGAGAUCGAAUCACCUGGUUUGGUAUAAAACGUUAAGCAUUUGUUUGCUACCCAGCAAAUGAAAAAUCGAAGAAGGAUGCUUGGGAAUCGGCCACGGGGGGGAAAGCUUCUUUUUUUUUACCGAAAUUGAAUUUUCAAUAGUUUUGUUUUGAUGGGAAUCUAAUGUCAAACAGUUUCUGUAAAACAAAUCGUUUCGGCUAAAUGCGAGAACUUUUGUUAUGAGCUAAUUUGAUUGAUUUGAGUAUCUAGUCUGAGAGUAUUUUUUCACGAACGCAAAAGCAGUACGCAAUGUUUCAAUUUUAUUCAUUCAUUGUGAAAACAACACAGGUUCAUUAUUGUUCUGGAAAUUUCGAAGAACUUCGAACACGUGAACCAAAAACCUUGACUCUCCUCGCUUUAAUUUUAAUGUCUUGUAUUCGACGAAAUUAUAUCAAUAGUCCAAAUGUAGACAACUAUAUUUAUAGCGGUCAAAUUUGUGUUCAAGUCCAAUUUGCUUUUGAGUAGUGCUUUCAUUACUGCUGGUCUCUUUCUUUGACAGGAAUGUUAUCCAACAAUUACUAUCGAAACUCAAACUAGCUACGUUUUAUUCUUACGGCCAAUUGUAGUCCUAAUGAUAAUUUUAAAUACUAUGUACUUAAAAAGUUGGCUUGUGUUGUAUUACGUGGAAGGAUGAAGUCGAACCCAGAUGAUACGCGAUUAACGAUGUCGGCCAUUGAAGAGGAUUAUUCCAAGGCAAUCUACGGUGAUUGGUUUUGCAUCAAUCCGCAAAGAUUGUGAAUUGCCGUUUAAGGAACUCCGCACCUUCAAAGCUGCGAAUAAUGACGAGAAAAAAAAAGUACGACUGUGUAAUGUCAGAGACAUAUCUGGAUGUCGUGAAUACGAAUAAAACUGUCACUCCUUUUUAUACUUUCGAAUAUCAAUUAGUUGAUCAAUUGUGUGAAUUGUGCAAGCUUUCACUACUAGAAUUUAGAACUAUACACUCUAGGUAUUCAAAAGAACCUUUUAUGAAGGCGUUCGUGAUGGAGAGUUGAGUUUGAAUUCCGAUGAAUACCGCUGACUUCCGUCAUCUAUUUCCAGGCUGACAACCAAAUGCGAAAUGAAUCACUUCUGAGUCAGUUCUAUGCAUUUUAUAUAGCAAAUCAACAGAAAGUUCCACUACAAACUACCAUCCCUAUUCUGUAUUUCGAUCGAAUCGUAUUUUGUCGAAUGAAUGUAAAAAUUUGCAUUCUCUAAUUCGAUCGAGUGAUGCUUUUGUAUGGAAAACUCGAACUCGAUCGAGUUACAUAAUGCCAAAUAUCGUAUUCGAUCGAAACAAUCUGACUCGAACGAAAUACAGAAUCGGGGUGUACAACUGGUUGAAAAAUAGGCCGUAUACAGUAUAGUGAAGUAAAAUUUCCCAUAAUUCUUUGGGUAUACAAUUAUGGUUCCAAAUAGCAACAUACAGAAUUUUGAUGUGGAUUGUUUCAUUUCGGAUUUGAUAAUGUUUCAGUGAAAGCAACUAUCAAAAUGCUGUUCGGAAUUAAUUUAUGGCAUUCAGAUGGGCCAAAUUGUGUAAUGUAGCUAAUCAAAUUAUCCUGGCUACCUCAAAACUGUCGUCCGGGUGCGAAAAAGGCAAGCAAAUGUGAUCAAUUUCCUUCAUAAUUUCGAAAAGCUUCUGAAAAUUUUGUUUUUCAGUUAUUUAUGGUUAUCUCACGCUCAGUGGCGUCUCGUGGAAAUAUUUACGGGUUGUGCACUGAUUAUAUCAGAUGUAACAGUUCGUUGUAAGUGAAAACUAAAGAUUGAAGAAUUGAUAUUCACCUGUAUUUUUUAAUAUAAUGAAAUAUCGAUAUACUUUUUGAUGGGAUUUUUUUCUAUUAAACCUAUUUCGUAUCGAGGCUAAGUGCUCGAGUUCAGAGCGCUGCGUAUUGGCUAAAAAGAGAAUGCAGAUAGCGAUGCAGUGAAUUCCUUCAAUUGGACCGAUUGUGCAGCGCACGAGUUGCACAUAAGGACGAAACGCCACUGCUCACGCUGUGGAGAUUUAAUCACAAAUUCCUGAUCAUAUUUCCGAUAGCCUGUAGAAUAAAUUAUGUUGUUGGGUUAAGUACAUCAAGAGAUAUUCGCGAUAAAGCUCUGCCCAUUCUUGUACAGGGAAAGUUUUGAAAAGGUGCCCCAUAGUAAAGUAAGUCGUGUUCACGACAAAAUUACAUCAUUGAAGCACAGUAAAAAAAUCAGAGACCCCAGAUGAUUCCCCUGGGGAAAUUCUUCGGAAACACAAUCAUCACUUCUGAUUAAAAAUGGGAGUCAGUAUUACUUUUUUGAACAGCUGAGGAGCCCGCCGGUCUGGCAUCUGGUUCUGCAGAGUUCGAUGACUUUAUGUCAGCAAUAACCGUCUGUACCGAACUCACGUCUAUCGUCAAUAGAGUGCAAAAAUAAAUUUGAACAGUUUUGAGAUUUCCGAAUAUCUGUUAUCUGUGGUUAAAGUGGGCCCAUCUAUAAAUGCACGGGGCAUUGAACAACUCGUUUAUGAUGAAAGGUACAGUUUGAGAGAAUUAGAAUCAUUUUCCAAUUUGAUUAGACAACUCUCUUUUUCGUCUUACAGUCAUUAGAGCUACACUGUUUGUCACAACGCCAUUCGGUAUAAUCCCGUUUGUCGUAGCGCCGAUUGACAGAAUUGUGUGUGGCACAAGUUAUUUUGACGUAGGAUUACGUCUUUCGUUAUACUAACUUUUGUUGUACUGGUUUGGGGUGCCAAACGCCUAAUUUCUGAAUAACUUGUUUUCUAGUUAGGAUUUUUGUUUGAUUGUUUUACUAAACAUAAAAAAACAACUUGUUUUAAUCCACCUAGUGGUGUAGUGAUGCCUUUCUCAAUCAAGAGAUUGUUUGUGCAUUAACUAUUAAAACAAACAUAAUGAAAUAGUGCUUUGGUUGCGUAGGUCAUCGUAGGUUAAGAAAACGAAGUGGGUUCACUAUUCUAUGCACUUCCAACACCGGAACCCGAGAACCAGCAUAAUCGAAGUCGAUUCGUACGGCCACCAGCUAACAUGACGUACAAACUCAACUAGUUAUUAUUCAAAUUUUGAAGGUUUUAUACAAUUCUGCCAUCGUACUCUAAACGACGAUUUGAAUUUUUGUUGUAUCCAAAAAUAUGCAGAAAUUUUUGGACCAUAAAACCUUUUACUUGACCCUAAGAUUGAGAAUAACGGUUUUGAGUCCAGUUUACAACAUUUUUUACGGUUUUUGUUUCGCCAGUUUGUGACGAUGUACAAUAUUUAGCACAUUUUACCCUAUAACUCCGGAACCGGAAGUCGGCUCCAAAUUAAAUUUAGGAAUUCCGUAUGGGAUUCUUGAAAAAAAUAAAAUCUGCAAUCCAUGGAGAAAUUUUAAGAAAUUCGACAUAUUUGGACGGAUUCCACGAACCAAGCCAAGCCUUGCUGCAUCGAUAGUAAUCGGAAGGAGCAAUGGGUGGGGUAGGACUUCCCAUCAGAGCUUAAAAUUGUCACGCAUUCUCAAUGAAGGAAUACAAUCCAACAGUCUCAUAUUCGUUUUUUUACUGUCAUUAUCGAUUCUCGAAGCUUCGGUAAAAUAUCGACACUGCCCAGUAUACGAUUUUCACUGAAAACCGAAAAUGACUGAAACGGUAUAUGAAAGGAAGAACACAAUUUUGAAACUACUGUUCCGUUUAUGUCGUUGACUGGACAUGGAACUCGUUCUCAUAAUUUGCAAGUGGAGCCGAGAGCGACCUUUAUUUCUCGUCAUUUUCAUCUAUUUGAAGUCAAUGAUUAGUUCUUCUUUCUAUUUGAGCGGUUCUAAGUAUGUUUUUGCCGGCUGUGCAACAUAUGAGGGACAGUUGUCUAGUUGCAAAAUUACUUUGUCGUUUUAGUGUUUUUCCACCACAGUGAUCACUUCACUAUGCCUGAUACUGGUAAUAGGUAAAAUCAAGUGAAGUGACAUGUAAGUAAAGUGAAUGUGAAAGUGGAAGUGAGAACUGUAAUAAGGGCCAGUAACAAUUCCUUUGAAAAAAAACCUUUUCUUCUGUGCCGUUAGCGCAGUGGUUCGCAUGUGAAGAACGACGUUCGGCGUCCCUUGGCUUCAAUUCAUACGGCACCCAAUUCCCUACCUUUCGGAUCAUUCUCAUUGCUUUCAAACAUUGGCAAUUGGCUGACUGAGUAACUUCGAGUGAUUUUAAAUUUCUUCAAUUCUUUAUCUGCAAACUUAUUUUUAAAUUUGAUAAAAUAAAUAGUUUCACAUUUCCACACCUCUAAAAUCAAUUUCAGGACUUUAAAGACACUGUACAGAUUUUAUUCGGAAAAUUAAAAAUAUCAACGGCGGAAAUUUGAGUAGUAAUUAGGUCACAGAAUUGAAUUUCAAUUUCGCGAAUAUGUAACUGACAUUAUCUAGGACCUAGGUUUAAAGAUUAUUUGCCAGGAAAACGCUUAGCUUUGAGUGGACUGAGAAAUUUUAUGGCGUCACUUCAAUUGGUGAUUCGGUCAUCUGUGAUUAGACCUUUUGUUGUGCGCCCUAGCUCUUUUAGUGCUGAAAACUAGGUCUUGGCAUUACAUUCCUCUUGUGGAAAUCAAUCAUUUUGUUUCAACAGACUUCGCAGUCGAUUCUUAGUGUACAGAAUCGUUUGCAUGGUUGGUGCUACGAUCUUAUUAACAUUAAGAAUCCUUCGAGUUUGGUGAUCGACCAUACGACAACUGGCUUGAAAGGACUUUUUUUAGGGCUACAUUUCCAAAAGUUUCAUUGAUUUUGGAAAAUGGCUAUUAUGUCAAAUAAACAUUAUGUCAAAUGACCAUUUUGUCAGAAACAUUAACAAGUGAAAAGUGCACUUUAUUUUUUGACGAGAUAUGUUAAUGGUAGAGAUUUGAGAAAUCAAUCAAAUUAGUUCGAAACAAUUUUGAAAAUGCCGGGAAUUACAUCUGUCUCGUACUAAUAUUUGAUGCAAAUAUUUUGAUGAUGCAUUUAUGCGCAGUUCUAGACAGUGAACAGAUCUUGUGGUAUCUCUUGCUGCUACAAAUGCUGCUACUUACUAUUAGUAGAACUAAAAGUUUCGUGCAUGUGCUAAGGUUCUUGAUACCAGACUCUUAGCUUAGCGCGCACGAUUCACGCGGUUGUUGGGUUAUAAUUUUAUUAAAAUUGCUUUCCAAAAUUCUCCAUAAAACCUGUCCUUUCGGGUUGUGUUAAUUCAACAGGACAACCCGCUCAAUUUUGCUUGAACCGUGGGAAAAGCAAAACUUUUUUCAUUCCACCAAACGAAAUAACACAAAACAACACACGGUUAUUCCCGUCGGGUCCGAUCCUAAGCCGUCCUUCGUCUUCGCUUCUACUUGCAGAGGAGGUGGAUAUUUCGGAGCCAUGGGUGGAGCACCAUACCGCGGACGUUCGCGCUCCCGUGGUCGAGCCACGUCACUGAAUCGCGCGCGUAGCGGACAACGCAACGGUCGCAACGCUUCCGAAGGACGCAGAUCAUCGGCGCCGUCCA